CCCUUAGAUGUUCUGGGCCGCACGCGUGCUACACUGAGUGGAUCAGCGGGUCAGGUUGCGCGAAAGCGUUUCCUAAUCUUUAAAUCCGCUCGUGAUGGGGAUUGACGGUUGCAAUUUUCUGUCAUGAACGAGGAAUACCUUGUAAGCGCGGGUCAUCAUCCCGCGCUGAAUACGUCCCUGCCCUUUGUACACACCGCCCGUCGCUCCUACCGAUUGAGUGGUCCGGUGAGGCUUUGGGAUUGGCAGCCAACACCGGCAACGGUAGCUGGCCGCCGAAAACUUAUGCAAACUUGGUCAUUUAGAGGAAGUAAAAGUCGUAACA
rnacentral:rRNA from 1 species